rnacentral:rRNA from 1 species
CGCGUAGGCGGCCUGGUAAGUCAGUUGUGAAAGCCCUCGGCUCAACCGAGGAAUUGCGACUGAAACUGCCGGGCUUGAGUCCCGGAGAGGGUAGUGGAAUUCCCAGUGUAGCGGUGAAAUGCGUAGAUACUGGGAGGAACAUCAGUGGCGAAGGCGACUACCUGGACGGGUACUGACGCUGAGGUGCGAAAGCGUGGGGAGCAAACA